rnacentral:rRNA from 1 species
UACGUAGGCAGCGAGCGUUGUUCGGAAUUACUGGGCGUAAAGAGUGUGUAGGCGGUGCUCUAAGUUCGGUGUGAAAUCUCUCGGCUUAACUGGGAGGGUGCGCCGGAAACUGGAGUGCUCGAACGUGGGAGAGGAAAGCGGAAUUCCUGGUGUAGCGGUGAAAUGCGCAGAUAUCAGGAGGAACACCGGUGGCGAAGGCGGGUCUCUGGGCCGAUACUGACGCUGAGGAGCGAAAGCGUGGGGAGCGAACAGG